rnacentral:rRNA from 1 species
CCUGCGGAAGGAUCAUUAAUGAAAUUAUAAUCCGGCGAGGGGAAAGGCGGAGAGUUGUAGCUGGCCUCUAGGGGCAUGUGCACGCUCUCUUCCGGACCUUUCGCCGUAUGGGCGCGGGGCGACCCGCGUCUUCAUAUACCUCUUCGUGUAGAAAGUCUUUGAAUGUUUUACCAUCAUCGAGUCGCGACUUCUAGGAGACGCGAUUCUUUGAGAAAAAAGUUAUUACAACUUUCAGCAACGGAUCUCUUGGCUCUCGCAUCGAUGAAGAACGCAGCGAAUCGCGAUAUGUAAUGUGAAUUGCAGAUCUACAGUGAAUCAUCGAAUCUUUGAACGCACCUUGCGCUCCUCGGUGUUCCGAGGAGCAUGCCUGUUUGAGUGUCAGUAAAUUCUCAACCCCUCUCGAUUUGCUUCGAGCGGGUGCUUGGAUGUUGGGGGCUGCCGGAGACACUGGAUUUCGUCCAGGACUCGGGCUCCUCUUAAAUGAAUCGGCUCGCGGUCGACUUUCGACUUUGCAUGACAAGGCCUUUGGCGUGAUAAUGAUCGCCGUUCGCCGAAGUGCAAGACAGAAUGGUCCCGUGCCUCUAAUGCGUCGACGCCUCUAGGGGCGUCUUCCUCAUUGACGUUUGACCUCAAAUCAGGUAGGACUACCCGCUGAACUUAAGCAUAUCAAUAAGCGGAGGAAAAGAACUAACAAGGAUUCCCCUAGUAACUGCGAGUGAACCGGGAAAAGCUCAAAUUUUGAAUCUGGCGG